GCGAAUUGCAUCCAUUUCAUUUGUUUUUUUUGAAUUCCUUCCAAGCAUCAUGUCCAUUAUUAUCCUAUGUACAUUUCCCAAAUUCUUCAGCCAGCCCACGAAUCUGUAGGAGCAUGCAUCCUCAUAUAGUUAUGAGCCUUAUUCUCUGUAAGAAAUAUCAAAUUAAUAGCGCAAGUACUCAAAAAGAGAUAUGUGCUAAGAAAAGUAAAUAAUUUUGGAAAAUGAUAUCUAUUACGUGAACUUUUGAUUGUCAGUUACGUGUACACGUAUUUGUGAUAAGUUUUUUGAAAAAAUGUGUAAUAAGUAGGGUCUUCA
rnacentral:lncRNA from 1 species